AGUCUGUGUCAGGAAUUCUCCAGCCACAGCUGGCCUGGUGGAGAUGCAAAACAUGCACCCGCCCUGCAAUCCUGUCCCAGAUGAGAGGCUUCAGGGGAUGCUAAACUCCCAGGCAGGCGGAGGCAGAAGAGAGUGAGACACUUGCUUUAGUUGUUGUGACCAAACUUUACUGAUGUUUCUGCAUGAUGUUAUUUCUGGCAGCAUCUUGUUUUAACCAGUGUGGACAAGUUAUUUCAUUGGAUGGAUGAGCUCUAUCCUCAGUAGAAGAGAUCACACUGGACUAAGUUCACCAGACUCCACAGCACUCUGUUAUUCUAUGAAGUGGCUUAAGUACAAGAAUCUUACUGGACUACAUUGGAGGAAUUCUCAGCAAUGAGCACUCUCUGCUAAAUGAAGCGACACUGAGACCCUGGAGGAGGACAGAGUCACAAUAUGACACUGAACGAACCUAUGGAAGUUUCAACCAGAGUAUGUUUAUGUUUGUUAGUAUGAGAAAUAAAUUUCUAUCUCACUAAC